UGGUUGAUCCUGCCAGUAGUCAUAUGCUUGUCUCAAAGAUUAAGCCAUGCAUGUCUGAGUACAGACCGAUCUAAGGUGAAACCGCGAAUGGCUCAUUAAAUCAGUCAUAAUUUCUUGGAUAGUGAAAAACUUCCUCGGAUAACUGUGGAAAAUCCAGAGCUAAUACGUGCAACUGAGCUCCGACACCGGCGAAAGCCGAGGGAAGAGCGCAUUUAUUAGAUUCAAAACUGACCGUCGUACUCCUCCGGGAUGCGUCGUUUGUCAUAUUGAUGACUCCGGAUAACUAAGCCGAGCGCUACGGUCUUUGUACCGGCGCCGUAUCUUUCAAGUGUCUGCCUUAUCAGCUUUCGAUUGUAGGUUAAACGCCUACAAUGGCUGUAACGGGUAACGGGGAAUCAGGGUUCGAUUCCGGAGAGGGAGCCUGAGAAACGGCUACCACAUCUAAGGAAGGCAGCAGGCACGCAAAUUACCCACUCCCAGCUCGGGGAGGUAGUGACGAAAAAUAACGAUGCGAGACUCUUCCGAGGCCUCGCAAUCGGAAUGAGUCCAUUCUAAAUCCUUGGACGAGGAUCCAUUGGAGGGCAAGUCUGGUGCCAGCAGCCGCGGUAAUUCCAGCUCCAAUAGCGUAUAUUAAAGUUGCUGCGGUUAAAAAGCUCGUAGUUGGAUCUCCUAGAUCCAAAUCGUGGGCGGGUCGCCAGUUGUACGCGCGUCUUCGCGGUCUCUCGAGAGGUGCUUACUCGGGCGGCACGAUGUUGCGUUAAUUGUCGAUUCAUCUCGGAGCAGUAAUGCCGAGAGGUGUUUUCGGCGUUUUCGUAUACUCGUGUGCAGUGUCGGGUUUGCGCUUAGCGUGUGGACGGUCGACGUAGUCUUCCGGUAUUGCCCGUCCGCGUUUGGUACAAUUAAAAUUUUGUCGGCUCGCUCGGAGUGCUCUUUACCGAGUGUUCCAGGGUGGCCGACACGUUCACUUUGAAAAAAUUAGAGUGCUCAAAGCGGGCUAUAAAGUUGCCUAAAUGUUGUUGCAUGGAAUGAAGGAACAGGACCUCGGUUCUGUUCUUUUUGUCGGUUUUAUUGAACCGAGGUAAUGAUUAAAAGGAACAGACGGUGGCAUUAGUAUUGCGACGCUAGAGGUGAAAUUCUUGGACCGUCGCACGACUAACUACUGCGAAAGCAUUUGCCGAGCAUGUUUUCAUUAAUCAAGAACGAAAGUUAGAGGAUCGAAGGCGAUCAGAUACCGCCCUAGUUCUAACCCUAAACUAUGCUAACUAGCGAUCCGCCGGAGUCAUUCCCACGACCCGGCGGGAAGCCCCAGGGAAACCAAAGUCUUUGAGUUCCGGGGGAAGUAUGGUUGCAAAGCUGAAACUUAAAGGAAUUGACGGAAGGGCACCACCAGGAGUGGAGCCUGCGGCUUAAUUUGACUCAACACGGGAAACCUCACCAGGCCCGGACAUCAGAAGGAUUGACAGAUUGAGAGCUCUUUCUCGAUUCGAUGGGUGGUGGUGCAUGGCCGUUCUUAGUUGGUGGAGUGAUCUGUCUGGUUGAUUCCGAUAACGAACGAGACUCUACCCUACUAACUAGUCGGCGGAUCGUAACCCUGUGCUGGGGGGAUCUGAGGUUCGCUUUUGCGGCCGGUGUGAGGUGAAAGCGAGUCUGGAUUUAUUCGGGCGCGUCGUAAUCUCGCAUCGCGCUAGCGGGUGUUACUGAGGUGACUCUUACUGGGGGCGUCCGUCGCAAUGUAUCUUCUUAGAGGGAUCAGCGGCGUCUAGCCGCACGAGAAAGAGCAAUAACAGGUCUGUGAUGCCCUUAGAUGUUCUGGGCCGCACGCGCGCUACAAUGUACGGAUCAGCGUGCCACCCCGCUCCGAAAGGAGUGGGUAACCCGUUGAAACCCGCACCCAAUUGGGAUUGGGGAUUGCAAAUGUUUCCCAUAAACGAGGAAUUCCCAGUAAUCGUGAAUCAUUAAUUCGCGCUGAUUACGUCCCUGCCCUUUGUACACACCGCCCGUCGCUACUACCGAUUGAAUGAUUCAGUGAGGUCAUCGGAUUGGCUCCUUCGGUUGAAACAUACCUUAGGUUGACGAAAAGACGUCCGAACUCGAUCAUUUAGAGGAAGUAAAAGUCGUAACAAGGUUUCCGUAGGUGAACCUGCG
rnacentral:rRNA from 1 species